UCAACAACACCGAACCCUAUCACUAACUCUAACAGCCCACAAUCCCAAACUCCGUCUCCAAGCAUUCCCAAAGACCUCUCUCCCCACAGAAAAUACUCAAUUCUAUGCAUUCUUCUCAGUGGCAUUUUGUCAAACACUUUGCACCAAAAAUAACUCCUUCACUUAUUUCAACUACUAUUAUUAAUCUCCAUAAAACCCCUGAUUUAUCCUUCCAGUUUGUAAUCCAUAUUGGAUUUAAUGGUGUUGAUAUCAGAAGCAGGUACCUUGCUAUGGCGGCAACCUCUCACGCACCGAACCCAAAACCCACACUGCAGCUCUUGAAAGAAACUAAUAAUAACGGGGCUUAUAGUAUCAGGGAGGUUUUUAAUGAGCUGGGAGUUGCAAGAGAUGUCUUAGGUGGUAAAAGUUAUGUUUUUUAUGACUUGUUGAUAAGGGCUUGUUGUGAAUUGAAGAGGAGUGAUGAUGCAUUUGAGUGUUUUGAUAUGAUGAAGGGAAAGGGUGUAAUUCCUUGUGUUCAUGCUUGUAAUGAUAUCUUGAGUUUGUUUCUGAAGUUAAAUACGACAGAGAAGGCGCGGGUUCUGUAUGCAUAGAUGUUUAGGUUGAGGAUUAAAUCGAGUGUUGUCACGUUUAAUAUAAUGAUCAAUGUGUUGUGUAAGGAAGGAAAGUUGAAGAAGGCAAAGGAGUUUACUGGUUUAUGGAGAGCUUGGGGAUCAAGCCUAAUGUUGUUACGUAUAAUACAAUAAUUCAUGGAUAUUGUUCAAGAGGGAGAGUUGAAGGUGCUCGUAUGAUUUUUGAUGUAAUGAAAUGUAGAGGUUAAACCAGAUUCGUACACAUAUAGUUCAUUCACUAGUGGAAUGUGCAAGGAAGGAAAACUUGAGGAGGCAUCUGGGAUGCUUGAGAAGAUGAAAGAAAUCGAGUUGCGUCCAACUGCUGUGACUUAUAAUACUUUGAUUGAUGUGUAUUGCAAUUAAGGGGAUUUGGAGAUGACUUUUAGCUAUAGAGAUGAGAUGGUAACAGAGGGUAUAAGGCCGACUGUUUCAACUUACAACAUGUUGAUUCAUGCAUUGUUUUUGGAUGAUGUAGUAGCAUAAAGAAAGCGUUUAGCCUCCAUGAUGAAAUGAUGAGCAAAGGGAUUCAGCCUACCCAUGUAACUUACACGUCGCUGAUUUAUGUUUUGAGUAAACGGGAUAGAAUGAAACAGGCUGGUGACUUGUUUGAAAAGAUAGUCCAUAAAGGCAUUUUCCCGGCUCUCAUAAUGUUCAAUGCAUUGACUGAUGGUCACAGUGCAAAUGGGAAUAUGGACCGUGCGUUUGCAUUGUUGAAGGAGAUGGAGCAAAUGAAAGUUGUUCCUGAUGAAGUAACUUACAAUAUCCUAAUGCAAGGGCGUUGCAUGGAGGGAAAAGUUGAAGAAGCACGUGAGCUUCUUGAAGAGAUGAAGAGCAGGGGGGGUUAAACCUGACCAUACUAGUUAUAAUACUCUAAUUAGUGGGUAUAGCAAGAGAGUAUAGGAUUCAAUCCUGCACUUCUCACUUAAAAUGCCCGGAUACAAGGCUUAUGCAAAAACCAGGAAGGAGAUCAUGCUGAACAGCUCCUCAAAGAAAUGGUUAGCAAAGGCAUUACUCCUGAUGAUAGCAUCUAUUUAUCUUUGAUUUAGGGGAUAGGGAAUGUUGAGGAAUAUUUGGGAAGAAGUAGUUCAUGGUUAAUUUCUUUGACAGCAGCAUUAAAUCCUUGCCAGUCACCACUGAAACAGUUUUACACAAAAAUAUUCGUCUUUUUUUCCACGGAGGCAAGUUCUUGUCUGUCAGAUUUUAAUGAUGCUGGUUAUGGAAUUCUGAAGGCUUCGUUUAGGAAACCUUUUUUUUGUCUUCUAAUUAGUUUGUUUUAUUAUACGAGAAUCUGAACAGGUCUCAUAAAGAAUAAACUACUUCAGCUUGGAGGUUGGACAGUUAAAUUUACAUAUUAUCUGUGAAUAUUUUAGAACCCAUGUCUGAUUUUGAAUUUAAAGCAGUUGGAAUUGCAAGUGAAGUUGAGCCUGCUUUUAAACAGAGAAUAAUGAUUUACCAUGCCAUAUGUAUCUUGGCAAAUAUUAUGUGAAACAUGCAGAUAUUCCUGUUCUUAAAACAUCCUAGGAUGCAAUUUGGCUUUUCUUCCUCUGUUGCCCUCCCUUUCUAGUUACAAUUUUUAUACCAUUAUAUAAGAUAGGCAUAUUAACAGUCUCAGUACACUGAAAUUGUUGCCAAUCCAAAACUACUUUCCGAUUAUUUUGGCAAAAUUUUCAAAUCAUGAUGUCAUGUGUCAAGUAAAAGGUGUUUCCAUUGUUUUACCAUUCCGAUUUCCACUUCUGGUAUGAUCAGGUUCUUACAUGCCAAGGUAGCCAUGUAACUCUAUUUCAUGCUGGAUCUAUCUCAUUUCAACUCUUUGUAAGUUAGCUUUUUCAGCAAUUUUUAUUUUGCAUGAAA